GUGCUUACUUCAGGAACACAUAUGCUCAAAUUGGAAUGCUGCAGAGAAGAUUAGCAUGACUACUGUACAAGGAUGACAUGCAAAAUUCAUGAAGCGUUCCGUAUGUUU